rnacentral:rRNA from 1 species
CAGCAGCCACGGUAAUACGAAGGGGGCUAGCGUUGCUCGGAAUGACUGGGCGUAAAGGGCGCGUAGGCGGCUGUUACAGUCAGACGUGAAAUUCCUGGGCUCAACCUGGGGGCUGCGUUUGAUACGUGAUGGCUUGAGUUCGGAAGAGGGUCGUGGAAUUCCCAGUGUAGCAGUGAAAUGCGUAGAGAUCGGAAGGAACAUCUGUGGCGAAGGCGACUAUCUGGGCCAACACUGACACUGAGGCACGAAAGCGUGGGGAGCAAACAGGAUUAGAUACCCCGGUAGUCCCUGUCUCUUAUAC